rnacentral:lncRNA from 1 species
CCACUUCCUUUCCCCAGGGGCCGCGGCAUUCUUGGGGCGGUGACCCACACCAUCUCCACUGCACUGCUGGCCUUCGAGCUGACUGGCCAGAUUUGUGCACGGGCUCCCUGUGCUGAGUGCGUGCUGGCAGCCAAAUGCCAUUGCCCAGAGCUGCCAACCCUCCUUCUAUGAUGGCACCAUCAUAGUCAAGAAGCUGCCUUACCUGCCCUGGAUUCGAGGGCCGCAUUGGGUGAGCGACUGCAGCAUGCGGGGAUGCUCGGAGUUGGGAGGGCUGGGGGAGGCCCCAGAAGAAAGGCCACUGAGGCUGACCUUGGCCAUGACUCCUCUGGUCCCAUGCUCCCCAGCACCCCACUUGCCUGGUGCAGGCUGCAGCCUCACACGGACAGCACAGAGCCAGCACCAGCUUUGGGGUCCCCCCCCUCCCCUACCCCUGCUGCUCUGCUGUCCUUACUGCAUUGGGGGAGCUGGGGUGGAGCUAGGGAAUGGAGCUUUGAGGGUCUAGCUGGACCAUGUGGUCCAGAGGCUCCGAAGGCUCUGGAUCAAGGUCAGCUCCAAACCUCAGUUUCCCCAUCCAUGAGAUGUGGGUGCUCAUCAGAGGUUUCAGACUUCAGAGUUGUUCUUUGAUUUUGAUUUUGCUGUGUAACUUUUCUCCCAGUAGAGUUUUCCCAGGAAGGUGAUGGGAUGAAUCAGAACAAAGCAGAACUGGACCUGGGUCUGGGGCAGGAUCUGGAGGCCUCAGGUUCAGGCCUGGACCCUCAGGUGAGGUGUCCCAGGCUCCUUCCCACUGUGGAGUCCUGGGGGUCACUCAGCCUGGACCCCCUCAAUCCCCACCCGCACUGGAGUCCUGGGUCCUGUCCCAGCCAAUUCCCCCAGCGACAGAGACCCUGCUUCAUCCUCACUACACGCCCCUCCGCCAGCUCAGCUCCAGCCACGCAGGGAGAGGCACCCCAGUCCUGUGUCCCUGUGUCCCAUCCCCGGGGGACACCAGUUACUGCCUCCAGGGGACAAAUCCCAAUAGAGCAGGCAACUGGCCAGCGUGGGUGCUCAGGGUUUGGUCAUCAAAGCCGUAAACAGCAGCCCAUGAGGAUGGCCCCGGUGCCCUCUGGUGUUGUAGAUUCCCCAGCCUGAAACUCCAAGAAUAAAGCAUCCUGUCUCCCUGCA